rnacentral:lncRNA from 1 species
AAAAAAAAAAAAAAAAAAAAAAGAGUAGUGUUAAUGAGCUACAAUGUCACAUGGCAAGUUAUCAUGGAUUUCUCAAAUGUCUAUCUGUGGAGAUAUAAAUGAGCUCAAUUUGAUGCACGAUAAGUUUUUUACAAAAUGAUGCACCACAUUAACAAAGCAUGCAAUGUGAUCAUAGAUCAUGGAAGUAGUGAGAACAUGGUACCUAAAGCAUUAGCGAAAGGGAGCGAAAAAUAUAAUAAGGAGGUAUGUAAAAUUCUACUUUUUAUUGAAAAAUAAUGCAAAGAAGAGAUUGUGAAUGUGAUAGAAAUGAAUGGUUGUCACGAACAUGGGCAAAAUCAUGAUAUUGUGAUGUAGAUGCUACACUUAUAUCCAAAGAUAACAAUUAUGGGUUUGGUAGUGGUCCAAUAAGAAUAUUAUUUGUUGCCACUUAAGAAACUAUUUGCGAGUAUCACUCUCAGAGCAAACAAUUUACUUAGCGGAUGACAUGAUUGAAAAAGACGUUCCAAAUGACUUAGAUAUUACCAACCAUGAUAAUGCAAUAGAGGUAGAAACGUAUGUGUAAUAUGAAACCUAGAAACUUGCAAAAAGUUUUAUUUAUUGUCCCCUAUUUAGAAAGUGAACCAACAAAAGUUAAUAAGGCAUUUUUAAAAAUGAGAGACUUUAAAACCUAGAAACUGAAGCAGCAAGGGAACAAAAAUCAAUUCACUUUCCUCUCAGAUACCAUACCCACAUCACAUUUCGCACAAUUAGUAAACGAAUAAAAUCCGUAAGUUAUUUACUUCCAAAGUUCCCUAAGGGAAUGUCUUAUAAUUCAUUUGGAUCUCAACCAUUGUAACCCCAACCCAUACUUCCCACUAGCCACCCUACUUUUCAUAGGUAAGAUUGUUCCCAGGGAAAUCUCCGGAGUCAUUUCCCUUCCGUACAUGUUCCAAAGAUUUUUUUCUCCUGAACCAUCUCUACUUUUACUUAAUGUUAUCAAAUCUCAAGCUACCAACAACCAUCUCUACUUUUAUUCUAAACAAUGGCAAGCAUCACAAAAGGACGUGUGAAAUAAAGAAAAUGAGGUAUAUGUAAGUUUUAUAUCCCAUCUUUAGUAACUCCACAAAAUCAUACACGAGAAGAUUAAUAGGGUUACUUUAGACUUUCAUUAUAUUGUUCUAAUUUAUCUAAUCAUUAGUGAAGAAUCAAUGCCAAAUAUUUACCAAGCAUGAUGUUAGACCAUAUAAAAAAUGUAAAUUGUUUAAAGAUUUUCAGUUACAACAUUCAAAAAACAAAUGUUUAGUUUAUAUGUUGUUAGAUAGACCUUUAGCUAAACGGCAAAAUCAACACACACAUAAGCAUUGUGCAGUAGAAGGAAUCAUGUAGUAGGAUAACUCAUCCCACAUAUCUGAAUCUUGAGUCCACCGUACUUUACCUGCCAGUUAUAAACUUCCUGGAUGAAAUGCUAGCUUUUAGGAAUAUGUAACAGGAACCUGACUCAAGAAUCAUAACAACUACAAGGCAAUAACCCAAGGGAUGCAUGAAAUUUUCAGAAAUUAGCAGCAAAUAAUCAUUUUAUAGGAUAUCAUGUCCGGUCUUAGCAUAAAGCAUAAUAAAAUUUGAGCUCUCAUGCGAUUGUCAAGUGAUGAAAUCAACUUCGUUAUCAGCCCAUUGUGUGAGGUAGUCCUCAAAGAUAUUUCAGUUGCAAAGCAUAGAAUUUGAAAGCUGAAUGCAAAUUUAGGUAAUUACCAUAUAUAAUAUGUACGUAUAUGUUAACUACCAUAAUUAAAAGAAAUAAUUAAGGAAACUUUCCUUUUUAUUUAAUUAUACCAAAAAUCGAAAAGGUAAUUACCAUAUAUAUUAUGUACAUAUAUGUUAACUACCAUAAGUGAAGGAUUCAAUUAAGGAGACUUUCCUUUUCUUAUUCAAUCUUACCAAAAACCAAAAAGGUAAUUAACAUAUAAACGUAUAUGUUAAUUACCAUAAUUAAAAUGAUUAAUAUAUAUAUUCCAGAAAAAAAGAGAAAAAAGAAAACCCCCACACACACACACGAAUAUUUUUCAAGAAUUCUCAUACGUGCUAAUAGGAUCAUCAAAUUCGAGGUAAGUGAAAUACAUGUAUUUUCAUUGUUUAAAAUUAUAGAAGUUGAUAUUAUGAUUAUGUUAUGAAAUCAUAGAGUUUAGUAGCGCUACGCACGAAAUUAUAACCACGAAGUUGGGUUUUAUUAAUUUCGUGUCUCAUCUAACAUUUGUUCACAAAUCUCAUGGACUUUUGUUAUUCAUGUCAUGCUAUUUCACUUAUUGAGAUCAUCAUCUCAUAUGAAUCAAAAAAAAUUUUAGGUAAUAAUUAACUGUGUUUGAGAUGGAUGAAAAUUGGGCGAGCACGCAAUGGUGGAUAAUAAAACAUUUUAAUAAAGUUAUGUUAAGAUUUAUUUAUGUUUUGAUGAUCAAAUUAUUUUGGUUGUGAAGAUUUUAAGAUUUAAUAUGUUGUUUAGAAAUUUUCCUUUCCAUUUAAAAACUUUUAUGUACUAAAUAAAUGAUUGUUUAAGGAUUUUAUUCGUAUGUUUGAGAAUUAUUUUCUCAUUCUUUAUAGAGAGGAUGGUAUUGUGGGAUACCUUGACUAAAUAUAUGAAAUUCGAGACUACACCACACAAUUAUUAUUUUAUUAGACUAUAAUCUCAUUUGAGCAUAGCACCACUGUUCAUGGAUGUUCGAGGGACGGACACUUCAACUAUAUUAGAAAACUAGCCACAUAAGAGAUGCCAUGCUACCUAAUUUAAUUGAUUCUAUGUAUAGUUCUUAAUAAUGCCCCACUGCUACACAUAUCAGAUACUAUUCACUAUCAUAGCACCUUAUCAGAAGGGGUUAUUCUUAUACAUUCUGUUUUAAAUGGUUCGAAUUACACUCAAUCAUAAAAAACUGCAAUUUUAUUUUCUUGUUACUUUUGCCAUGAAGCAAUAUCGCUUUCUUGAAGUUUUAGUUUUCCUCUCGUUAUGAUUGAAUUUUGUCAAGUUUAUUGGUUUGUUAUUCACAUCUCUUCUCCCAUAUGUGGAGAAAAACUAAACUAGCUUCUAAUACAUUGGCAACCAAAAUAAGGGAAAUGAACAGAAAUCAUACCACACCAAGAAAGUGUGCUAUGAGCACAUACUCUCUGUACAGGGUUGGACGCAACUUCUUGAUGUACAUGCUACUUAAGCAUCUGAAAUUACAUAUGAACAACUUUGUGUUUCUUUCUUUUCUUUGCCAACUGGCAGGGUGAUGGGUUUUGAAUAGUAAGUUCUCAUCCUAGCAAGUUAGACAAUACAUUAGAAGGGCAAAAAUUCAAGAGUAAAAAGUAAAUAUUUUCAUUAGCAUAACAAUUAGAAGAUAUUAUUAAAUUUCUCCACCCCGACAGCACAAGAAUGACUGAUUAAUGAUAAAACUAAAAUUUUAACUGUCAAUGCAGGUUGAUAGGAAGUACUAAAAGAAAUAUGUUGAUUUGUAUUGAUUGAGGUAGCAAACAUCGACCUUUUUUGGGGUCAGUAUAGACCAAAUUGAGUAGAUUUUAAUGGGUUAGGGUCAAUGUGACUCAAUUAGUAUCGCUUCUAGUAUGGAUAGUUAAGAUAUUUACGCAAAACAAGGCCUUUUGAAUAAAGAAUCAAAAUGUAAGGCUAUUUUGCAGUUUGCACGUUGUAAGAAGGUUAAUUUAAAAUUGCUCAAAUAUCUAAUAUCCAGUUAAGUGUACAAAAACUGGACCAUAAAACAUGGGCAUCAACGCAACUUUGUGUAGUCUAAUGAGAAAAUAGAGUGACAACCAACUCUAGAAAGACCCUCAUGUCCCUUAAUAACAUUUCAAAAAUAAAAAGAUAAAACAUAAGAUCACCUUUAGACAAUGUAAACUGAAUAAAGUUCGUGUAUUACUUGCAGCUACUUCUGGAAAUUAUAAUCGAUAAAAAUGGAAUAAAUGGUUAAUGGUUUGACAAAGCUAGUCGAAUAUAGAACAUUCAAAAAACACAGUUCUGUAGGAAAAUGCAUAUCACGGGACAUGGUGAAAAUGCAAAAGCAAACAGAUUGACAACGAAGUAAAAGUCCUCGCCUACAAAGAAGGGACUUGGAGCAACAAAAUCAAACCUAUAAAUCAGGAUUUUUAAAAUGUGAUAUGGAUAUUUUUUAUAGUAAAAGAGUUUUGAUUUAAGUUAUUAAUCAGGAUAAAUUGACUUCUCCAGAAAGCAAUAUGAAAAUACCUACGAAUAUCAAGAACAAUUAUAAUGAGCCCAUCGACUGCAAGUUUUGUAAUGUAACCCGGUGCUCCAUUGGUGUUGUUAAUAUUUUGAUCAUAAGCAGGAAACAAGGAGACUCGAAAUCAUCGGAGCAUCGACUAUAUUGGGAAAGUUCGGUUUGAUUGAGAAGGAGAUUAGAUCGGGUAAAAAAUAAAAUAACCACAAUGUGGAGAACCACUAUAACUAAGAAGACCACCAAAGCCCAAAAGCGUCCACCUAACUUCACUCCUCCAAAAACCCCAAAUUUCUGCAACUGUUAUUUCUGUUCCUAGAUACUGCCAGAUUUAAAGGCAGAGUACCAGCUCCAUCAAGAUUAAUGACAGCUCGUGUAAGACUAAAUCAUUUAGAGCCAUUGAAUCGAGUGCGAAAUCAACAUAAAUAAAUCCGGUACUUCCUUCAAACUUUGGUGAUGAACAGGUGGUAAUCUCGGCAACACGAUAAAUCCUCAGCCACUUGUACUCUCUUGUUCUUAUUUGAUGAAUUGAAAAUUGAUUUAAAAAAAUGGAAGGGUGCCUGGUAAAAUUAUAUAUUUCUCUAUAUUGAGAAAAUGUUAGAUGAAAAUAAGCUUGAAAAA